rnacentral:rRNA from 1 species
UACGUAGGGGGCGAGCGUUGUCCGGAUUUAUUGGGCGUAAAGAGCUUGUAGGCGGUUUGUCGCGUCUGCUGUGAAAUUUCGGGGCUCAACCCCGAACUUGCAGUGGGUACGGGCAGACUAGAGUGUGGUAGGGGAGACUGGAAUUCCUGGUGUAGCGGUGAAAUGCGCAGAUAUCAGGAGGAACACCGAUGGCGAAGGCAGGUCUCUGGGCCACUACUGACGCUGAGAAGCGAAAGCGUGGGGAGCGAACAGG